rnacentral:rRNA from 1 species
AUUGAACGCUGGCGGCAUGCCUUACACAUGCAAGUCGAACGGCAGCGGACCUUCGGGUGCCGGCGAGUGGCGAACGGGUGAGUAAAGUAUCGGAACGUACCUUUCAGUGGGGGGAUAACGUAGCGAAAGUUACGCUAAUACCGCAUAUUCUGUGAGCAGGAAAGCAGGGGAUCGCAAGACCUUGCGCUGAUUGAGCGGCCGAUAUCAGGAUUAGCUAGUUGGUGAAGGUAAAGGCUCACCAAGGCGACGAUCUGUAGCGGGUCUGAGAGGAUGAUCCGCCACACUGGAACUGAGACACGGUCCAGACUCCGUACGGGAGGCAGCAG